CGAGCGCGAAAGCACUUCGGUGUGAGUAGAGCGGCGGACGGGUGAGUAAUGCUUGGGAAUCUGCCCAGUAGUGGGGGAUAACCUGUGGAAACGCAGGCUAAUACCGCAUACGUCCUACGGGAGAAAGCAGGGGAUCUUCGGACCUUGCGCUAUUGGAUGAGCCCAAGUCGGAUUAGCUUGUUGGUAGGGUAAUGGCCUACCAAGGCAACGAUCCGUAGCUGGUCUGAGAGGAUGAUCAGCCACACUGGGACUGAGACACGGCCCAGACUCCUACGGGAGGCAGCAGUGGGGAAUAUUGCACAAUGGGCGAAAGCCUGAUGCAGCCAUGCCGCGUGUGUGAAGAAGGCUCUAGGGUUGUAAAGCACUUUCAGUAGGGAGGAAAUGUUAACGAUUAAUACUCGUUAGCUCUGACGUUACCUACAGAAGAAGCACCGGCAAACUCCGUGCCAGCAGCCGCGGUAAU
rnacentral:rRNA from 1 species